rnacentral:rRNA from 1 species
GGAAGGAUCAUUACCGAUUCUCAAAUACCUUGACACCUGUGAAUUUGGUCGCUGCGUUGUGCGCGCUUCUCCUUUCGGGGUUGGCCAGCUAGGUCAUUAAAUCGUGGGUCUGCUUUACCCACAGCCCCGAUUGGAGUUGCCGUGUGCGCAGUGGUUUUUCCUCGCUUCGCCUCCUGUGUGCGGCGGAGCAACCUUGAACUUUUUUAACCAUGCCUGUAAAUUUGCAGACUGAACUGUCGGGCUUUCUAACGAAAGCUUGUCUCUUGAUACUUGAAUCAUGGACAACUUUCAACGGUGGAUCUCUUGGCUCGUGGAUCGAUGAAGAACGCAGCAAAACGCGAUAUGUAGUGUGAAUUGCAGAAUUCAGUGAAUCAUCGAAUCUUUGAACGCAAAUGGCGCUCCUGGGUAUUCCCAGGAGCAUGUCUGUCUCAGCGUCGUUUUCACCUCGAGCGCGCUUCGGCGCGGUGGUCUUGAGGCGUCUGGGCGCCGCUGCUGCAGCUCACGGCUUUUCGUCGUGUGCUGCUGGCAGCACCCAGUCCCUUGAAAUUCAGUGGCCGGACAGUUGUGUGCUUUCGGGGUCGGUUCGACUCGAUCGCUCGCACGGCUGAUGGCGAGUUUGCCCCGUGCAAUCUCCCUUGUCGUGUCGCAGCGGUCGUCAGCUCGGGCCUGGCCUCCGAUCAUGGCCGCCUGACCGAACAAAGCCAGCUCUGGAAAACGCGCGUUGGUAACUUUCUUUUUUUAAAGUAAGUGACCCAACAUCUUCGACCUGAGAUCAGGCAAGACUACCCGCUGAAUUUAAGCA